GGUGACGGCGGUGAAGGAGCUUCUUUCUCCUUCUUUCCUCUGGUUCGAUCUUACUUUCNNNNNNNNNNNNNNNNNNNNNNGGAGGUGGUGGUGAUGUGUGGUGGUUAUGGUGGAUGGUGAUGUAUCUCGAAAUUCAUCUUCUAGAUUUCAUCUUUCUCAAUUUGUGAAUAUUCAUCUCUCUAAUUGGUUUUAUAUGUUGGUUUUUUGCAGGCUUUAUGAAAGAGGAAGCUCAGUUUCAAUUUUUGGGUUCUCAGUUUUAGGUUUGGUUUAUGUUUUUCUGUUUCUUUGCUGGUUUUCCUUCUAUUUUUCCUGUAUCAUUCUUGCUGAUUUGUUCAGCAUCGUCUUGCAAAGAAAUAGAAGCCUCAUCCCAUCAAUUUGAGUUAUAGUUAUUUAGAUUAAAAAUACAUUCUACUUAGGUUACGAACAAUAGAAGUUUUAUCAUGUUAUUAUCUUCUUGAUUAUGAAUGAUGACAGAUUUAAUAAGUUUGAUUGAUGGAACAAUGACAAAUUUAAAAGUUUGAAACAAUUUUUAGUGUUUUAAUAAGUAUGAAACAAUUUCUUUGUCAUAGUAAAUAAUAAAUAAUCUCUUUUAUUGUAAUAGUUAAAAGAUGAUUUGUUGAGAAUGGUUAAAUAAAACACCUUCAAACAAACUCCAUCCUUGCUGAUUUUUAUUGUGUAUGUGUUGUUGGUGUUGGAAUUGCAACAAGGUAACUAGAAUCAAAGUGUGAUAAGAUUAAGGUAACUAAUCACGAAGUAAUUUGGAGGAGUAUCAAAGAUACUAGAACAGCCAAGAAGCAUCUGGUGCGGAGAUAAAAAGUAGACUGUGCAUUUUGAUGUCAUUCAAUGGUGAGAAAUUUAUUUCAAAUCUGCUAGGUGUGUGGAAAAAG
rnacentral:lncRNA from 1 species